AAAUAGGAAAGCAAGAGAGAAAGAGCAGGAAGAUGAUAAAGGACAAAGUAAAGGAAGAGAAACAAUGAUAGACAGCUACAUGAUGUCUCUUGGUAAGGAGCUUAAGGAGCAAACAGCAUGAGUGGUAUGAUUAAGGAUGAGAGAAAAUAACAGAAUUACAGAGUUGGUCAAAGAUUUGGAGAAUAAAAUUCCAGACAAGAAAGUAAAGUCUAGAAUUGAAAGGCCUUAAAGAAAACUCAGCAAUGGUUAAAAUUUUAUUAAAUCAUAAAGGCCUGAGCCUAAAACUAUCAGGAAAAUUGUCAAGAUUUGAUAAGAAGAAAAGAGAAGAAAUUUUGUGUUGUAUUAAAUGUAAACUGGAACUGCACAAGUGGUAUAGUGAGAACACAAAUAGAUGAACAGCAUAGGUAGUAGAUGCACAGGUACAAUAGAUUCUUUGAAAUGUGCGGUGGGAGUGAUGGUUCUGAAAACAUAGCAGUCAGAAAGAGAAUGGUUUGGAAUAAGUUAGAGUUAUUUUCUCAGCUAGUGAAUGGUACCUAAAUAUAUCAGGAAGAGAGCCACUCUAACAGAUCAUGAAGAAGCUAAAAUGCAGUAAACCAAUCAGUUGCACCAAUGAAAACCAAGGAUGUUGAACAAUUCCAAAACACAAGAGUAUUAUUAUAGUAGAUUAUCUCGGUAACCAUGGAAGCUAUGAAAAAUACAAAGCCCAGGAUCAUUUUACACAUCUGUGUAAAUUUUCGCGCAAUUCCACCCAGCCGUUUGACCAU